GGCCCCAUAGUUCAAUGGAUAGAAUGUCAGAUUCCGAUUCUGAUGAUCUGGGUUCGAAUCCCGGUGGGGUCA
rnacentral:tRNA from 1 species